GUCAUGCACAGCGCGCUCUGGGAUCCCUGACUGAGGGAUAGACCACAGGCUGCUUGUUGUUCGGGUUUCACAAGUUUGCCCUCUGGUUUUACUGUUAAAGAGAGGCCAUUGUAACUGAGAACUAGCUUCGAAUACAGCUGCUGCUACAUCUUUCCAGGCUUAUGAGAUAAUCCUGUUUUUGGUAGCCAGGUAUUUAACAUCUGUCUUUCAACGGGAUGUAACUCUCAUCUACUUCUCCAGAACCAAGUCUACAUGAAGCCAUGUGCCUGCUGCCACGCUUCACACCUGGAUGAUAAUGGACUCACCUCUGGAAACAAGCCCCCAAAUUAUAUGCUUUCUUUUAUAAGAAUUGCUUUGGCUAUGGUGUUCUUCACAGCAAUAAAAUAGCGAUGAAGACAGUAGUUGAUACCAGGAAACCGAGUAUUGCUGUGACAGGCAUGACCAUGCUGUAUAUUGGCAGAAUGUGAACUUUGGACUAGAAAAGUGACUGAGUGGUUUAAGUCGGGAUUUUAUGGGCUAUACUAGUAGCAAGGACACUUGUAUUGGAAAAAUGUAGACAAGUGGGAGACCAGCACAGGAAGUUGCAGAGGGAGAAAUCAUACAAAGUGAAUACAAAGCAACCUAGUGACCAUUCUUGAUGUAUUUCAGCAAAGAGGUGGCUGCUUUUGCCCAUGUCCUGAAAAUCUGCCCGAGUUUUUGAUUAAUGAUGGCAGAGGAGAUGUCAAGACAGCUUAGAAUUGAUCAUAUCAUAUGGUUAUUAGUAAUCACUCUUAUUUAGGUCAGUAAUGGAAAAGAUAAAGCUAGACAAAAAGAAAUACCAAAUGUACAGAUUGAGGGGAAAAGAAAGCACUAGAGAGUGUAAUGGAGCUAAGUCCAGUGCUUCUAGAAGAUUAAAAUUUAAAGAAAAAUUUGACACUAAGUGGAAUCAAAAGAGCAGUAACCUCAGGUAAGAUCCCACUCAGUUAAGGUUCCAACUUGUAAAAGGGAAUUAAAGAAGUUUAAGCAGUGAAGGAAACUAUCAAGAAGGGAAAGCUGAUGCAAAUGUAAAUGAAUCAGAGGGCCAAGUUCAGGCCAGCAAGCAGCUGAAUUUGGCAGCUUUAGCCAAGUGGUUCUGGCCUUAGAGUCAAGGAAAUCAAGAGAGCAAGUCCUUACAAUAUACAAAGGAAUGGCUCUUCCCCCACUGGCUAAGAAAAGGUGCUGAGUCCAGGCAAGUGCUGUGGGUGUUGAGGACCCCCUGCAGGUGUCCAUGCAGUGAUCCAUGAAGAAAUGAGAAUGAAACCUUGGUUCAGAUAGACUUCGUCAACCUAGAUCAAACUUCGGGGAGUUUAAUGCUAGGCCAUCCAUUGUCAGCAUAUUAAAACAUAGUACAAUUUGGGAAAAUUACUAAAUAUUUUCCCUUUAAGUAAAUUAUUUUAUUCUUUUUUGGAAGAUUUACUUAGUUUUAUUUUAUUUGGAAAGAUGAAUAAAUAGUAGAAAAUGUAUCUAAUCCAUUUUGUAAGGAAUAUUGAAAUUAUUCAAAAUAAAAUAUCUGGUUGUGUGAUUUGUAUUACUGUUAUGGAUGAUAGAAUUAAUCACCCAACAAUGUAGUAAAUUUGUUAUAUAUUUCUGUGACCAUUUCCCACCUUUUUUUAUUUGAUUGUUUGAGGUAAUGGUAUAAAUUUGAGUUUAAAAGUAGGAGAACCAUUUCCAGGAAGAUAUCUCAAGAAACUCAAAGAUCUACCAUAUGACCAUCUAUACAACUCCUUUGUGUAUUGUAAGGACUUGCUCUCUUAUUAGAGACACUUGUUCAGCCAUGUUCACUGCAGAUCUAUAUAUAGUAGUUAGGAAAUGGCAACAACCUGGAUAACCUUCAACUGAUGAAUAGAUGAUGAAAAUCGACUAUGUUUGCACACUGGAAUUUUAUUAAACUGUAAAGAAAAAUGAAA
rnacentral:lncRNA from 1 species